AACGAACGCUGGCGGCAGGCUUAACACAUGCAAGUCGAGCGAGACCUUCGGGUCUAGCGGCGGACGGGUGAGUAACGCGUGGGAACGUGCCCUUCUCUACGGAAUAGCCCCGGGAAACUGGGAGUAAUACCGUAUACGCCCUUUGGGGGAAAGAUUUAUCGGAGAAGGAUCGGCCCGCGUUGGAUUAGGUAGUUGGUGGGGUAAUGGCCCACCAAGCCGACGAUCCAUAGCUGGUUUGAGAGGAUGAUCAGCCACACUGGGACUGAGACACGGCCCAGACUCCUACGGGAGGCAGCAGUGGGGAAUCUUAGACAAUGGGGGCAACCCUGAUCUAGCCAUGCCGCGUGAGUGAUGAAGGCCUUAGGGUUGUAAAGCUCUUUCAGCUGGGAAGAUAAUGACGUACCAGCAGAG
rnacentral:rRNA from 1 species